CGGAGGGCAGAGCGGGAGCGGGGCGCAGCGCAGCGGCGGGCGCACUUCGCCUCCUCCUCGCGAGAGCCGCUCUCCCUCCUCCUCCCGCACAAAGAAGGCCCCGCUCACCCCGUCCGGCCGCGGGGUUAAGGUGUCCCCGAGCCAUGUCCCGCCGCAGCGCUCGGCCGCGCGGUGCCCCCGCCGCUGGGACCCGCCCGGCCCCGGCCCCUCUCGGAGCCUGGCGCCCGCUCAGCGGUGGCGAUGGGCGUCCCGCAGAGCCGUGUGCUGAGGAGCGGGAGUUGGAGGGCUGCGCGAGGAGCUCGGUCCUGCAGGGAGCCGUGGCAUCGCUCAGUGUUCCGUGCUGCUUUCUACGGGUCUUCAAUAAAAAGUUACCGUGGAUGCUUUCAAUAAACUCGGCUUGGCUCUUUUCACUCUUUUGCUUUCAGAUGGGUGAGCUUCAGUUGCGUCUCGCAGUCCGCGGGACCGCCAGAAGUUCCUGGUGGGCUGUGAGUGUUUAGGCCGCACCUCAGUGCUGUGCUCAGGUUUGGGCUCCUCACUGUGUGAAAGACAUCGAGGCACUGGAGCGUGUCCAGAGAAGGGCAGCGAAGCUGUGAGGGGUCUGGAGCACAGGUCUGAGGGGGGGCGGCUGAGGGAGCUGGGAUUGUUCACCUGGAGAAGAGGAGGCUCAGGGGAGACCUUAUUGCUCUCUACAGCUGCCUGAAAGGAGAUUGUGG
ensembl:lncRNA